UAAGAAAGUGUACUCAAUUAUGAUUGCUUGCAUUUUCAGGGUGUGUGUCACGGACUACACAAUUUUGUGAAUGUUAUAUGAGUAUGAUUGGAACAACACCUGGAUGGGGUGGAGAAACAUUCAUCGUUCAAGUGUCUUGGAUUAGAAUUUUCAUCUGUUGGAGAGUAUACUUACACAAGUGACACUCGAUUCCAAAGUGUUUACAUGCAAAUAAUUGGGCAAUUAAAUAUCCACAAGUGGCAGAUGAGGGCCUGUAUGAGUGUCAGGUCAGCUCCUCCCCACCCAAGAAUAUUGUGGGUAGUGGGAUACAGAAUUGAGCAAUGGAGAAGUAGAUCUAUGUCAUCCCUCACCGUUUUCCCCAUUUUGGAGAUGAUUUCCUUUCUUGUGUAUUAUCAGUGCAGCAUUUAUUGAAUAGUAUCAUCUAAUUUUUGACUGGAGUGUUUUCACAUUGUCUCAAGCAAGGAAAGUUCCAAACAAUUAUAUUUCCCAUCUAAAGAAAAUCUAUAUUUCACAUCCAAACUAAUAAUAGCAUUAACAGUGUUCAGAAGAUAUUCCAAAAUAAUUGGCAAUUCCUGUUUGAAAGUUGUUUUUUUUUUAAACUACGGGGAGGCCUAUGCAAGUUGACCACUUUGGUACAACAAUUUGAUGUUCCACUUAGGCAAGUGACCUAUUUAUAAAAUGGCAAUUUAAUUGUCUUUUUAACUAUCUGAAAAUUGAUGGUGAUAGAUGACCAACAUGCAAAAGUGGUUGACUCAACAGGUUUUCCAGUGUAUUAUAUAUAUAGAUAUAUAAAAAGAAAGAACGCAGAAAUUAAAAAAAAUGUCGGCUGCAGGUUUUCUGUCAUUUAAUCACACCAUACAAUAAAAGAUCUUAAUGCAAACCCUAGUAACUUGAGGCUUCGCAUUAUAUAAAUCAUUUCACAAUCCAUUAAGUUUAACUUAUUAAACCUUGCAAUGUAUAUCUGCAAUAGAUAAAUAUUUAGGUGUUUAUAAAAUAAUUUUAUCUAGAUUUAAUUAAGUAUAAUAAUACUCUUAGUUACGGAAAAAACUGAAAUUAUCAAGAGCAUUCAGAUUAACGACAAAAAAAUUAUCACUUUUGGUUUACUUUAGAAAAUUGUUACCUCAUAGUAAAUAUUUUUUCCCUUACAACCCAAGAACCGUUAAUGGUUCUUGCUCAGCUCCAGAAAUAACUUAUGUUUUAUUUUCAUUGUUUAUAACUAUGGUUUAUGGAGAAAUGUGAUUCAUACAAUUUUGUUAUAUAGAUCUGCUACAAUUGUUUAGUUCCUAUUUU